AUUGAACGCUGGCGGCAGGCCUAACACAUGCAAGUCGAGCGGUAGCACAGAGAGCUUGCUCUCGGGUGACGAGCGGCGGACGGGUGAGUAAUGUCUGGGAAACUGCCUGCGGGAGGGGGAUAACUGCUGGAAACGGUAGCUAAUACCGCAUAACGUCGCAAGACCAAAGUGGGGGACCUUCGGGCCUCAUGCCAUCGGAGGUGCCCCAGUGGGAUUAGUUGGUAGGUGGGGUAACGGCUCACCUAGGGGACGAUCCUUAACUGGUCUGAGAGGAUGACCAGCCACACUGGAACUGAGACACGGUCCAGACUCCUACGGGAGGCAGCAGUGGGGAAUAUUGCACAAUGGGCGCAAGCCUGAUGCAGCCAUGCCGCGUGUGUGAAGAAGGCCUUCGGGUUGUAAAGCACUUUCAGCGGGGAGGAAGGCAUUAAGGUUAAUAACCUUAGUGAUUGACGUUACCCGCAGAAGAAGCACCGGCUAACUCCGUGCCAGCCGCCGCCGUAA
rnacentral:rRNA from 1 species